AUAAGACAGGACUGCAAGGGGCAGAGAGACACUCAUCUACUACUGAGGUCCAGAAGACAUCACCAAGACAACCAGGCAUCAAUCAGUCAGCAUCUUCCAACUAUCAGAGGAUGAAGAUCCAGAGUGUGUUACUGCUGUUUUCUCUAGUGGGCGUGCUGUUAGCAAGCUCACUCAAUGGAGAUAACUCUGAGAAAGAGGAUAGUGCCAUGGAGAAGUCGGAGAAUGGAGCUGUGAAAGCCAUUGCAGAAGACGAAGCAUCACCAUGGUGGUUCGGUUUUCAUCAUCAUCAUCAUCAUCAUCAUCAUCAUUAUCAUUGCUGUUGAGGUACCAGAAUGAGGUCACGGACGAUCCUUUCCUGUCUCCAUAUGGAAUCAACAUAAAUAAUAUUAGCCUACAUUGCCCUACAUCCAUCCAUUCAUGAUGGCAAUGUUGUAGGGUUAACAUGUUGUAUUGUGAUUGUAGUGUCGAGUCAAUGUUGCUAAUUAUUGCUGUUAAACAAAGGAGUCCGCUUAUACUGAACUUUGAUCAUAAG